rnacentral:rRNA from 1 species
GACGAACGCUGGCGGCGUGCUUAACACAUGCAAGUCGAACGGAAAGGCCCUGCUUUUGUGGGGUGCUCGAGUGGCGAACGGGUGAGUAACACGUGAGUAACCUGCCCUUGACUUUGGGAUAACUUCAGGAAACUGGGGCUAAUACCGGAUAGGAGCUCCUGCUGCAUGGUGGGGGUUGGAAAGUUUCGGCGGUUGGGGAUGGACUCGCGGCUUAUCAGCUUGUUGGUGGGGUAGUGGCUUACCAAGGCUUUGACGGGUAGCCGGCCUGAGAGGGUGACCGGCGACAUUGGGACUGAGAUACGGCCCAGACUCCUACGGGAGGCAGCAGUGGGGAAUAUUGCACAAUGGGCGGACGCGUGAUGCAGCGACGCCGCGUGCGGGAUGACGGCCUUCGGGUUGUAAACCGCUUUGGCAUGUGACGAAGAGUGAGUGACGGUAAUGGGUAAAAAAGCAACGGCUAACUACGUG